rnacentral:rRNA from 1 species
UGCAAGUCGAACGCAGUAGCAAUACUGAGUGGCAAACGGGUGAGUAUAAUGUGGGUAUCUGCCUUUUGGUUUGGAAUAACACGAGGAAACUUGUGCUAAUACCGGAUAAGCCUUUAUAGGGAAAGUUUUAUACGCCGAAAGAUGAGCCCGCACUUGAUUAGUUAGUUGGUGAGGUAAAAGCUCACCAAGACAAUGAUCAAUAGCUGAUCUGAGAGGACGAUCAGCCACAUUGGGACUGAGACACGGCCCAGACUCCUACGGGAGGCAGCAGUAAGGAAUCUUGCACAAUGGGGGAAACCCUGAUGCAGCGAUGCCGCGUGAGUGAAGAAGGCCCUUGGGUUGUAAAACUCUUUCGUCGGGGAAGAAAAUGACUGUACCCGAAUAAGAAGGUCCGGCUAACUUCGUGCCAGCAGCCGCGGUAAUACGAAGGGACCUAGCGUAGUUCGGAAUUACUGGGCUUAAAGAGCUCGUAGGUGGUUAAAAAAGUUGAUGGUGAAAUCCCAAGGCUCAACCUUGGAACUGCCAUCAAAACUUUUUAGCUAGAGUGUGAUAGAGGAAAGUGGAAUUUCUAGUGUAGAGGUGAAAUUCGUAGAUAUUAGAAAGAACGCCAAAUGCGAAGGCAACUUUCUGGGUCACUACUGACACUGAGGAGCGAAAGCAUGGGUAGCGAAGAGGAUUAGAUACCCUCGUAGUCCAUGCCGUAAACGAUGUGUGCUAGACGUUGGAAAUAUAUUUUUCAGUGUCGCAGCGAAAGCAUUAAGCACACCGCCUGUGGAGUACGACCGCAAGGUUAAAACUCAAAUGAAUUGACGGGGACCCGCACAAGCAGUGGAGCAUGUGGUUUAAUUCGAAGAUACGCGCAGAACCUUACCAACACUUGACAUGUUCGUCGCGAGACCAAGAGAUUGGUUUCUUCAUUCAGUUGGACGAAACACAGGUGCUGCAUGGCUGUCGUCAGCUCG